rnacentral:rRNA from 1 species
GAUGAACGCUAGCGGCAGGCUUAAUACAUGCAAGUCGUGGGGCAGCAUGAGUAGCAAUACUUGAUGGCGACCGGCAAACGGGUGAGGAACACGUACACAACCUUCCUUCAAGCGGGGAAUAGCCCAGAGAAAUUUGGAUUAAUACCCCAUAAUAUAUUUGAUAAGGCAUCUUAUUAAUAUUAAAGCUUCGGCACUUGAUGAUGGGUGUGCGGCUGAUUAGAUAGUUGGCGGGGUAACGGGCCCACCAAGUCUACGAUCAGUAGCUGAUGUGAGAGCAUGAUCAGCCACACGGGCACUGAGACACGGGCCCGACUCCUACGGAGGCAGCAGUAAGGAAUAUUGGACAAUGGACGAAAGUCUGAUCCAGCCAUGCCGCGUGAAGGAUUAAGGUCCUCUGGAUUGUAAACUUCUUUUAUAUGGGACGAAAAAGGACAUUCUUGUUCACUUGACGGUACCAUAUGAAUAAGCACCGG